GGUUAGUCUUUUUUAUUUUUUUGGUUUUUGGUUUUCAAUCUCGUUUUAUCAUUAUUAGUUGCAUUACUUUGUAUAGUUGUAGUUUAAUUAGUAGAUUUGUUAACUUUAUUGAUUGUUCAAUGUUUGUUUUAGGGUUUAGAAUGUUAACUUUAUUUUUGGGUUUUGAAUUGAAAUUGAAUGUUGUUGUUGUAGUAUUCAAAUUGAAAUUCCAAUUAAUCUUGUUCAUCAAAGCAUCUGAACUGUAAGAAAUCUUGUUCUUAACUCAAAUGAUUUCUCUGUUUGAAAAGCUAGUGUAUUUUUUUCUUUUAAAGGCUGAUGAUUUGAAAUACAAUCCAUGUUCUCCUAAUCAUUUGCUAGCUCCAAAAUCUGACCUUGUUGGUUAUCGAAUCCAUGAGUCUAAACAAGUCUCCCAAAACAGCGCCUUUAACCUGAACUGAGUUUGACCAAAAAAUGACCUCCUGCAGUAUUCUGUUUAAGGUGAGGAUUUAAGGACUAGUAAUGGCUAUAAUUCCUCAUUUAAGCCUUUGGUUGUUUUAUCUUCCAGUUAUUAGCAGUGUUGUCAAAGGCGCGCUUAAGCCGUGAAGCGAGGCUCAAAACAUGUUGAGCACUUCGCCUCGCUUAAUGUGCGCUUCAGUGUCGUCAUCAAGGCUCCAAGACAUACUAUUCCUUGCCAUUGAGCCUCUCUUGAAGAUGUGAUACUAGAUGAUGGUGUGUGAUAAUUGGGGUAACGUAGACGACCUUCCCAUGGUAGACGACGUAGGAUACAGGCCAACGUAGAUCAUGGUUUUGUGGAUGAGGAUAGUGAGGAGGAUUCGGAUCAUGUCUCUAACACCCAACGUUGACUUUUUUGAUUCGUAUACUUUUGGAUUCUAAUUUUGCUAUGUUUCUUGGAUAUGCAUAUGAUAUUUAAGUGUUUGAAUGUAGUUUUAAUUCGAAUUAGAAGUACUUUGAAGGUGAAUUUGAUUGUAGAAUGUGGUUUAUGGUUGUUUAAGUUUAUGAUGUUUAAGUGUUUCAAUGUAGUUGUAAUUUGAAUUAGAAGUACUUUAAAUUGGAAUUUGAGGUUGAAUUUGAUUGUAGAAUGUUGUAGUUUAUGAUUGUAGAAGUACUUUGAUGAA